CUGCAACGGCCUGCGGGCUCCCCAUCCGACCCGUCUUGAAACACGGACCAAGGAGUCUGACAUGCGUGCGAGUCGACGGGUUUUGAAACCUGGGAUGCGCAAGGAAGCUGACGAGCGGGAGGCCCUCACGGGCCGCACCGCUGGCGCACCCUGAUCUUCUGUGAAGGGUUCGAGUUGGAGCACGCCUGUCGGGACCCGAAAGAUGGUGAACUAUGCCUGAGCGGGGCGAAGCCAGAGGAAACUCUGGUGGAGGCUCGAAGCGAUACUGACGUGCAAAUCGUUCGUCUGACUUGGGUACAGGGGCGAAAGACUAAUCGA
rnacentral:ncRNA from 1 species